CCUACGGGGGGCAACAGUGAGGAAUAUUGGUCAAUGGACGAGAGUCUGAACCAGCCAAGUAGCGUGAAGGAUGACUGCUCUAUGGGUUGUAAACUUCUUUUAUAUGGGAAUAAAAUGUUCCACGUGUGGGAUUUUGUAUGUACCAUAUGAAUAAGGAUCGGCUAACUCCGUGCCAGCAGCCGCGGUAAUACGGAGGAUCCGAGCGUUAUCCGGAUUUAUUGGGUUUAAAGGGAGCGUAGGUGGAUUGUUAAGUCAGUUGUGAAAGUUUGCGGCUCAACCGUAAAAUUGCAGUUGAAACUGGCAGUCUUGAGUACAGUAGAGGUGAGCGGAAUUCGUGGUGUAGCGGUGAAAUGCUUAGAUAUCACGAAGAACUCCGAUUGCGAAGGCAGUUCACUGGACUGCAACUGACACUGAGGCUCGAAAGUGUGGGUAUCAAACAGGAUUAGAUACCCUAGUAGUC
rnacentral:rRNA from 1 species